ensembl:lncRNA
ACAGGGCUACGUUCCAGAACACAAAGAAACAGGGCUACGUUCCAGAACACAAAGAAACAGGGCUACGUUCCAGAACACAAAGAAACAGGGCUACGUUCAAGAACACAAAGAAACAGGGCUACGUUCAAGAACACAAAGAAAAAGAACACAAGGUUGACUUAAAAAAAAGUAAAGCAGAACCUUACAAUGAGCAGUACCCCCACUGUGGCCACGUCUACAUGACAAACAGACACAAAACACCCAGCUAAAGCUCAGGUAGAUCAAUGACCAUCAUGAGACAGACCGUUGAAACACAACAGCUGUGUAAUCUAAACAACACAAUUUCUCUUCCAGAGAAAAGAAACAACAUUUCCAACAAUUAUUUACAAUAUACUGUACAAGCUUUAUUUUCACUGGAAAAACACAACAUACUAGAGCAGAAAAAAAUGUAAUGCUAAUAAAAUUGCUAUAUUUUACAUAUACAAACACAUUACACAUUAAACACUGUGUAUAGUAUAAAAAUACAUUCACAAGGUGCAUGGAAAUUGCAAAUUGUUCAAAUUGAAUAACUUCUCCUCCUAUUGACUUCUGGUUUAUAAAAACAUUGACACAUCAUACUCUCCAGCCAUAUCCAACUUGAACUCCCCAGCAAGGUCACAUCCUUAUAGCAUAGUGCAGACUUGAGUUCUCUUCCUGUAAGAGAGCGAAAACAUACCACAAUGCACCAUAAGCAGUGAACAGUUACACUAUAACCAUAGUGGAUAGUAAAGAGUACAGUUAUACUCUACACACACUGUUUGCAGCUCAUUUGGGUUUUGCCAGUCAAGAGCAGUUUCCAGUACAUCCAAACAGAUGAUAGGAAAAUGUUCAGUUAAAUAAAUAGAUCACUCUCACCUCCUACUGUUAUUUCCUCAUUCAUCACCUUCAGAAACAAAAGUAUAAUGAGAGCGUAACUAACAGGCCCUGAUUGUAGCUGACAACAGCCUUUGGAACAACAUACAAAAUGGAGUAUUUUUUAAGCAAAAGGCACUUGCCGUGUCUACACCAGAGAAAACACAGGAGAGAUUCCACCAGAAGGAUGAGAACAUAGAUACCGGCACGGAGACCGAUGUAGAGGGGGAUCAUUGAGGAAGGGUCUGGAAGUGAAAAUGACAUCAUGUAUCAUGUUCAUUUCACAUCAAUGUUCUAAUGUCCUGCAAUUGUGAGCAUCUAUGUCUAAACCACCUAAAUGUACAUCCCUGAUCCACCUCUAUGCAGACGACACCAUUCUAUAUACUUCCGGCCCGUCCUUGGACACUGUGCUAUCUAACCUCCAAACGAGCUUCAAUGCCAUACAACACUCCUUCCGUGGCCUCCAACUGCUCUUAAACGCUAGUAAAACCAAAUGCAUGCUUUUCAACCGUUCGCUGCCUGCACCCGCACGCCUGAUCAUCAUUCUUAAAUGGAAGACGUUUGGAACCACCAAGACUCUUCCUAGAGCUAGCCGUCCGGCCAAACUGAGCAAUUGGGGGAGAAGGACCACGGUUAUGGAGGUGACCAAGAACCCGAUGGUCACUGUGACAGAGGUCUAGAGUUCCUCUGUGGAGAUGGGAAAACCUUCCAUUUGGACAACCAUCUCUGCAGCACUCCACCAAUCAGGUCAGGUCAGAUGGAAGCUAAUCCUCAGUAAAAGGAACAGCCCGCUUGGAGUUUUACAAAAGCCACCUAAAGGACUCUCAGACCAUAGGAAACAAGAUUCUCUGGUCUGAUGAAACCAAGAUUGAACUCUUUGACCUGAGUGCCAAGCGUCACGUCUGGAGGAAACCUGGCACCAUCCCUACAGUGAAGGAAUGUGGUGGCAGAAUCAUGCAUCGGGAUGUUUUU